rnacentral:lncRNA from 1 species
UCCUAAGUGUACAUGCAACCCUAAUAACCUUGAAUCUAUGUUUUCUCUAUAUACAUGCAAAUUUCUUUUCAAGGUUAUUUCCUAACUAGCAUGGCAUGGGGAAUAAAUAAACAUAAAAACUAGUAAAAAUACAUACCUUGUUGUUGCUUGGAUUCCUUCAAUACUUUGUGAGCCUAGCACCCCAAAUCUUGUGCCUCAAAUGCUUCACACACCACCACAAAACUUGGAAUAACUUGAGAGAAUACUUCUUACACUCAAAAAUCGGUUAUGCCCUCUCUAGUAACACUAGGUCCCGAUUUUGUUAGACAAAGGGUCCCUUUUAUAGUGGUGUCACAAUUAGGGUUUCAUUAUGAAUACCCAUAAUUGUCAUGACUCUUCAUUUCUCAUGACCCAUGGAUUUGUAACUCCCAUGGGCUAUCCAUGGAGCUCCAAAUGGUUACAUCCAUAACCCAUAAACCAUGGAUCAUUAACCCACCAUAAAAGAAUUGAUGAUUGUCAUAAUCAACCCUAUAUAUUUAAUUAGUCUCACUUUGAUCACCAAAUUAAUACUAGAUUAAUACUUGACCAAUACUAAUUAAAUAAUACUAUUAUUAAUAUAUUAGAACUUAUAAUAUAUUAAUAAUCAUAAGUGCCUUAUUCUCUCAUUUAGUCUAUCCAAGUAUUGCAAUGCCAUGCAACCCAAAUGGACCAUGCCGGGUCGGGUCAAGUACAUACCAAAUAAAGUUAUGGACUUAGACACUAUAUCCAACAGUCUCCCACUUGGAUAAGUCUAAUAACUAUAUUUGCAAAUAUGACUUCAAAAUCCGACUAGCAAUCGUAGCUCUUUCAAAGUCUCUCGGAACUGAGAUGAUGAUGAUACGCCAUUUAAGAUAAGUGAUCAUAUAAUCCUCUGCUCUCAUGAUAUCAGCCGGACAAACACAUGGAACAUGGUCUUACUUAUUGUCCAGCAUUUGUUUCUCGAUCUCCGAUUUGUUUCGACAUAGAACUAAAUUGAACACAUCAAUUAGGUUCUGACCGGGCCCGGUACAUAGGUCAAAACCAAAUCAUCGAGGGGCCCAGAUAUCGCUUCUAUUUCUAGAAGGAACAGAUAAACUUCGACUGAUAUGCUUGUACUAACUACUUGUUGAAUUAUUCACAAAGGCACGUUUUAUAACAUCGAGUUACCAAUGCGUUUUCGUACAAUCAAUGAAUAACCAACUCAUAGUCAACAACUCAUAUCUCUAGGUUUGAAGAUUUAUAUGAUAUUACCGUCUCACGAUCACUCGAGAUAAAUUCCAUGAAGUGAUGCAAGUGAGCGUGGGUUGAAUCCAAUACUCAGCCCUUAUGAGUACUCAUGAAUGUUGUAGCAACCAUUGCAUUGUCUAAAGCACUUUAGACAAAUCAUACAAGCCAAAUUCAUGACAGUCUUGAUUCAUAUCUACUUCCAACAUAUGACUGACUGUGGAUGGUUUGAAUAAUAUGAUAUAUACCAUAACAUAAUUAUUCUGGAAGUCAAAACAUGCAAAGUGAAACACAAGAAUAAUACUAAUCUUAUAUGGCCCCAACACUUUGAGUGUAAAUAAAACACCUUUUAUUUAAGCACCAUAUUGAUUACUCAUUAUUUAUGUUUCGAUUAAUCAACUUUAUGCUUGAAUUAAAACAUUAGUUGUCCCAUGCUCCAAGCAUGUACACUAUGGUUUUCCAAACAACAAUUAUGCCAUACUCCAAGUAUGCAUACUAUGUUUACAUAUGGUCCUCUCUUUGUGAAAUAGAUCAAUUGACAAUAUUCCAAUGAUGCUCAUUUCACAAUUCCAAUCCUUGUUGUAAAUGCAAGAAUACCAAACUCUUGCCAUUUACUGUAAUCUGUUAGAUUCUAAACUUAUAUGCAAUGAUCCCCUUGUAAUGACUAUGCACAGAAGUCACAAAGACUUGGCAACAGACAUUACAAAGCAUUCCAAUGGAAAACAAUUCCAUGGAAAUGAAGUCUCAAAUUCAAAGUACAUUCCUUUGAACAUCCUUCUUGCAUUAAGUUCUCUAAUCUUACACAGAUUCAAAGAGUAACUUCCACCUAUGGAAACAAUUCCAUAUUCCCAUUUUGACCAUCACUUUUGAACAAGAGUUGCCUCUUUUCAAAAUAUGUCAAUAUGGUCCUAACUCUAUACUUCCAAUUGUCCAUGAGUAACCAAUCUUUGGUAAACCUCAAACUGUCCUCGACAAUUGCUUAAUCAUUUUAGUCAUAUCCAGUUCUAAUCCCUUUUCCCUUCUUAAUGCCCUAAGCAUUAGGAAAAUUUAGAAUGGAUGAAUAUUAUAGUACAUGCAAUCGAUCCUAUAUCCGAAGCAUAUGGGACACGAUUCAUGCUAUAAAAUUUUUAUUUGCCAUGUUCUCACAAUUCGAACUAUGAAGAGGUAUGCCGUAAUCAUAAUCGAAUUUUGAGAACGCAACAUAUAUAGAAAUUCCUUAUGUUGAACAAUUCCAACAUAACAUUCAUAUAUAUCCUUGACUAAAGUUGAUAAAACUCAAUCUAAGCUGGUAGAAUUGGAAUGAAGUAUAAAAUCCUCUCCCUUAAUUAUAGCAAACAACUUUUCAAAGCAAAUUGAAACUUUUGUUUUCUAUAAUUAACAUUGCUAACUUGCAAUAUUUAACAUAAUCAUCAUGCUCCCACUAGCAUAAUGAUUACCAGCAUAACACUUUAUGCUCCCACUAGCUUUGACAUGUACUUAGAAAUCAACUGGACUUCUAGAAAUCAAUACUUUAUUGACUUUCUUACCAAAGUUCAUAUUUUUGAUACUAGAUUGCUUUGAUAAGACUUUAUCAAAAACAUACACCUUUCCUUAGAUAGCUCACAUGUUUGUCUAGACCUUUUGCACUUCUCACUAGUUAGCGUGCCGGUUAACCACACACACUCCACUAACUAUAUGAGAAUGCAAAUAUCACAAUCGCUAUCUACUUAAAAUCUUCUUAUUGGAAGUGUUUCCUUACCAUCAUUUUCAUGAAUCGAAGAGAAAACUUAUGACACUUAGAUUUUAUGGUGUAUGUGUUCUUUUCCAUGUGAAUUUUGUCAAAACCAUAAUCACAGGACUAGGUUAGUGACACUUCCAAAUUUAUAUGGACUGAACUUGUGCAAUCUUAAUUUCUUGCCAUCCGGCAGCAUAAGGGACUACCAUUGCUUCCAGGUUGUUAUGCAAACAGUCGAGAACUCUCAGAACUCCAAUGCAAAGCCAACCUUAACUGGGAUGAGCACAGAAUAUGUCAACAUGAUAGGUUACAAACCUCAAAUCGUGGGCUAGUGAUUAACAAAACUCUUGAUUAGUUCUUGAAACUAUUUUGGAAUCUUUUAGACUCCCACUAUCCUCUUGACUUAUAAGACUUCUCUUUGUCAAGAACCAUCCCUUGACAAUACAAAUAUUCAAGAGCUCGUGCGGAUUCUUAUCAAGUUAAACACUUCUCAUUAUUGGGCUUAGCUGGUCUUUGUUUUAUCCAAAACAUCAAACUUACCAAUCUCAAAUGUACAAGAAUAGGAAACAUCUUACUCUACAUUUGACAAGUGUUAUGAACUUUCUAAAGACUAUGUCACUCAAGUUACAAUCUUGGAGUAUAACUCCAGGAUUUGUUUUUGGAACGAAAUAUGAAUUAUCUUUUGAUUUAACCAUUUCAACAAUUCACGAUUCCUCUCCUCAGGCAACAAACACACUAAGGUGUCCUUAGAGGAUCAAUUGUAAUAUGGUUCCAUAAUCACUAAGAUAAUAAUAAAACAAAAUACACAAGUACUCUCCCAUCUCUUUAGAUUGGAGAAACUUGUAUCUUUCUGCCUUAUUUGAUUCUUCUUAUUCAUUCUACCAUACAUUGAAACCUUUCCAAUGUUUCAGAAUUACACUUAAAGUCGUAAGCAUAACCAUAUUUACUAAACUUUAGUAAAUCAUAACGAAUAAUCUUAUCUACCUUUGUGGUGGACCUGACUAGUGCACAACUUAAUGUACCCGAUCCUUUAGUCCUUCGCUUGACUCACAAGCGAAUGUGAACAAGGACUUAGUCUUAAUUUACUAAAGAUGAAAAUUCCCAUUCAUCACACAAUACAACUUGCAUGAUUCCAAGUUUCUAUCCAACUGAAACUUGGGUGAUGAGAAUCUUUCCUUAUUUGGUAAAUUAUGACACUACCACUAAUGAAAAAAUCAAAUCCAUUUACCCAUAUUGCUUAUCAAUGGAAACAUAUAAGCAACAACCUUUUUCACAAAUGCCAUUGUAAGGAUACUUAAAAUAAAUAAAAUCAAAACCAUUUUCUUUUAUUUUAAAACUUUGCGGAAAACUUAUCCUUACAAUCCAUAUGGAAAACUUGUUGUUAUCUAUUCCUAAGCAAUAUAUCUAACUCUUAAGUAACAACUCAAAAUUAUGAUCACCGAACCAUGCGAUCGAAAUCCAUCUUCACGAUCAGAAUCAACAUAUACUUGCUUUAAGUUUCUUCACUCUUCUUUGAUUCUUAAACAUUAAUAUGUGACCCAGUCACAUCAUGCAAUAAGAAUCUUAGAAUAGAAACUAAAUAAAGUUAGAUAAUGGACUUUACCUAAAGCAGAGUCAAACAUUUGACUUUACUAUCCUUAUGGAUUUUUAGAUAAAUUUGGCAGCUUCGCAACCAAUGCCCUUCCUUUGGCAACACAAACAUACGGACUCUUUGGAAACGGUAUACGGGACUAUCACAGACAUAGCCUUUCUCUUUAUCAUUUGGUCAACCAAGUUGACUAUGGCCAAUCCCUUUCAAUUGGGAAGAGAAAGGUUUUCUGGACUUCCAAUGUUACCAUUGUCAAUGUCCAUGGAAGUUUGGGAAGUUGAUCCUCCAAUCAAAUUUUGCUUUACCGAUGCUCCAUAUCAGUGCAGAUUCAGCAUCAUCAAACAAAUAGGUAAGAUCAUUAAGGGUCAUGUCGUGAUCUGUCGUCAGGGAGUGACCAAGUCAACAACCAGCUACCUUGAGACUUCGACACCCGACUCUCCUGGCUUGUCAAUAUGUGACUUAAUCUCCAAGACCUAAGCAUAUAUAGACUUUGUUUGCCAAUAGGGAUUGAGUGACUUAGAACUUAUCAGGUCUUGAAACUUGUGGGAUAAGGAGAUUUAUUGGAGGAGGUGGAGGAAGUGAAGUAUGAUUUCCAGUCCCACUAAUGCACAACAAAGGGAUUGAUCUUUCACCUUGGUUGCCAUUUGGGAUAUCAUCUUCAUUAGGAAGCUUCUUCCUAAAGAUUUGGGAAGACCAUAGCUGUCUAAACUAGACAUCUAUAAUGGGAGAAAUUCAAGUUAGUUGAUUUAAAGUCCUUAAUAUAACACCCAAUAUGAAAUAUUAAGGCUAGGACCCAAUAACCUAUUUAUAACUGGAAGAGGGAUGCCGUAAUCCAAAUUAUAAAAUAGUUAAAGGUAGGUAAAUGACGAUUUACCAAUUUCCACCAUGAAAAACGAAAUAUAAUUAAGUUUUAAUUGGAUUUGAAACUCCUAGAUCUUUUGAGAUACAUUGAACUUUCAAUGGCAUGUUUGAAUCUCGAUUGUGCCCUCUCAAGUUUGUGACUGGGAUGCCGAGGAUCACAAACAAGGUGUGAAUAACCAUACAAAUUGACUUGGUACCCUCAACAAUAUUACCUAAUCGAUGUGCCGGUUAACCACACAUGCUCCACCGAUCUAUAAUAAAGUCAAGUUACCCUUUGCCACUCUUACUAGUCCAUGUUAGUGUGCCGGUUAACCACACACGCUCCACUAACGACUUGGUAAGGUACAAAGUGUAAUUUUAUGGGCUAGCACCAAUUUCACAUUUUCCUAAAGUAACUAAGAUUGGGAAUUUAUAAUGUAUAGUUACUUUAUAAUUCAUUAUACUUUUAAUGAGUAUUUAAAGUCGUAUCCUACCCGUUCGGCUAACGACCCUCCACCGAUCAAGGAAGCGGUGGGUGAGAGUGGACACCCAUUAAGUCACCAUUUUAUAGGCAACAACCUUAUACCCCCCCCCUUAUAGACCGACUUCAUGAAUGAGGCCUACUAAUGGUAAGAAUGACUUAUUCUUAUACAUAUCUAUAUAAUAAAAUUAUAAUAAUAGUAUAAGGGUGUAUUUUAAACAUUUAAAAUACUUGGUGGUUUAAUCUAUUAACUAAACUAUACUCUUAAUUUAAUUAAACUUAAACCAUGUGUUUAUGGAAUUAUUAACUCUUUUAAUUAAACACUUUAAUUAAUUUAAUGAAAUCCAUAAAGUUUGAAUUUUUAACCUUUUUAAAAAAAAGUUUAAUUUGGAAUUAAAGUGUAAGACUUUACAAAUUCCAAAACUUGAAGGCAAGUUUUGAAACUAUUUCAAGACUCUUCAAAUUUGUAACUUAUGAGUUUUAAUGGUUCAUAAAGUUGAAGACUCUUCAUUUUAUGAAACCUACUAUUCUUUAAUGUCAACUUUUAAAUAAGUUACUUUUGGUUAUCCAUAACUUGAAGACAAGUUAUGGACACCAUCAAUGCCACUAAGAUCAUGAAUUAAACAUACAUGGAGGUUACACAUAAUUCCUAUGAUCUUCUAAAAACUCAUAAAAAUACAAAUUCAUGUCAAGCAAUUUCAAGAAAUCAUAUAAACAUAUACAAUACUUGAAAAUUCAUAAAAGUCAUGCAAAAAUGGGUUAUCAUAAUCAUUAUCAUUUUCAAAAACAGAUUUUACAAGUCCAAAAUAGAUUGGGAUAAUGAUUUUAAUCCAUUUCCAGCAACAAAACACGAAAAGCUGCCCAACACGCUCCUACUCGUCGAGUGCAUUAUCCUACUCGACUAUUAGGAUGAAUUUGUUCAUGGACUUGGCGAGUCCUCCCCAUGAACUCGGCGAGUCCAGUUGUCAGAGUGCAGAAUUUUCGAUUUUUAAGCAGUUUUGCAUCAAGUAUACAGAAAACAAUCCUAGGCUCUGAUACCAAUGAUGGGUUUUGAGCAUUCUAACACUUCCUAAGUGUACAUGCAACCCUAAUAACCUUGAAUCUAUGUUUUCUCUAUAUACAUGCAAAUUUCUUUUUCAAGGUUAUUUCCUAACUAGCAUGGCAUGGGGAAUAAAUAAACAUAAAAACUAGUAGAAAUACAUACCUUGUUGUUGCUUGGAUUCCUUCAAGACUUUGUGAGCCUAGCACCCCAAAUGUUGUGCCUCAAAUGCUUCACACACCACCACAAAACUUGGAAUAACUUGAGAGAAUACUUCGUACACUCAAAAAUCGGUUAUGCCCUCUCUAGUAACACUAGGUCUCGAUUUUGUUAGCCAAAGGGUCCCUUUUAUAGCGGUGUCACAAUUAGGGUUUCAUUAUGAAUACCCAUAAUUGUCAUG